rnacentral:rRNA from 1 species
GAUGAACGCUAGCGGCAGGCCUAAUACAUGCAAGUCGGACGGGAUUGAGGAGCUUGCUUCUCAUGAGAGUGGCGCACGGGUGCGUAACACGUAUGUAACCUACCUUAGUCAGGGGGAUAGCCUCUCGAAAGAGAGAUUAACACCGCAUAACAUUAAGUUGUGGCAUCACAGUUUAAUCAAAUAUUUAUAGGACUAAGAUGGGCAUGCGGAACAUUAGCUAGUUGGUAAGGUAACGGCUUACCAAGGCAACGAUGUUUAGGGGAUCUGAGAGGAUGACCCCCCACACUGGUACGGAGACACGGACCAGACUCCUACGGGAGGCAGCAGUAAGGAAUAUUGGUCAAUGGACGCAAGUCUGAACCAGCCAUGCCGCGUGCAGGAAGACGGCCCUACGGGUUGUAAACUGCUUUUGUACCGGAAUAAACCUUUUCACGUGUGAGAAGCUGAAUGUACGGUAAGAAUAAGGAUCGGCUAACUCCGUGCCAGCAGCCGCAGUAA